rnacentral:rRNA from 1 species
CCCUUAGAUGUUCUGGGCCGCACGCGCGCUACACUGACGAAUGCAACGAGCUUAUAACCUUGGCCGAAAGGUCUGGGUAAUCUCCAAAUUUCGUCGUGAUGGGGAUAGAUUAUUGCAAUUAUUAAUCUUCAACGAGGAAUGCCUAGUAAGCGCAAGUCAUCAGCUUGCGUUGAUUACGUCCCUGCCCUUUGUACACACCGCCCGUCGCUCCUACCGAUUGAAUGGUCCGGUGAAGCGCUCGGACCGCGGCCUCUUGACGGUUCGCUGUCGAUUGGCUGUGGGAAGUUCGUUAAACCUUAGCAUUUAGAGGAAGGAGAAGUCGUAACA